GAUGAACGCUGGCGGCGUGCCUAAUACAUGCAAGUCGAGCGAACAGACGAGGAGCUUGCUCCUCUGACGUUAGCGGCGGACGGGUGAGUAACACGUGGAUAACCUACCUAUAAGACUGGGAUAACUUCGGGAAACCGGAGCUAAUACCGGAUAACAUGUUGAACCGCAUGGUUCAACAGUGAAAGACGGUCUUGCUGUCACUUAUAGAUGGAUCCGCGCCGCAUUAGCUAGUUGGUAAGGUAACGGCUUACCAAGGCAACGAUGCGUAGCCGACCUGAGAGGGUGAUCGGCCACACUGGAACUGAGACACGGUCCAGACUCCUACGGGAGGCAGCAGUAGGGAAUCUGCCGCAAUGGGCGAAAGCCUGACGGAGCAACGCCGCGUGAGUGAAGAAGGUCUUCGGAUCGUAAAACUCUGUUAUUAGGGAAGAACAAAUGUGUAAGUAACUAUGCACAUCUUGACGGUACCUAAUCAGAAAGCCACGGCUAACUACGUG
rnacentral:rRNA from 1 species